rnacentral:miRNA from 1 species
UCAGCAUGGUAGGAAUGUAUUU